UACGGGGGGAGCAAGCGUUGUUCGGAUUUACUGGGCGUAAAGGGCGCGUAGGCGGCCACCGCAAGUCAAUUGUGAAAUCUCCGGGCUUAACCCGGAAAGGUCAACCGAUACUGCGGGGCUAGAGUGCAGAAGGGGCAACUGGAAUUCUCGGUGUAGCGGUGAAAUGCGUAGAUAUCGAGAGGAACACCUGCGGCGAAGGCGGGUUGCUGGGCUGACACUGACGCUGAGGCGCGAAAGCUAGGGGAGCGAACGGG
rnacentral:rRNA from 1 species